GACGAACGCUGGCGGCGUGCUUAACACAUGCAAGUCGAACGGAAAGGCCCUGCUUUUGUGGGGUGCUCGAGUGGCGAACGGGUGAGUAACACGUGAGUAACCUGCCCUUGACUUUGGGAUAACUUCAGGAAACUGGGGCUAAUACCGGAUAGGAGCUCCUGCUGCAUGGUGGGGGUUGGAAAGUUUCGGCGGUUGGGGAUGGACUCGCGGCUUAUCAGCUUGUUGGUGGGGUAGUGGCUUACCAAGGCUUUGACGGGUAGCCGGCCUGAGAGCGUGACCGGCCACAUUGGGACUGAGAUACGGCCCAGACUCCUACGGGAGGCAGCAGUGGGGAAUAUUGCACAAUGGGCGGAAGCCUGAUGCAGCAACGCUGCGUGCGGGAUGACGGCCUUCGGGUUGUAAACCGCUUUCGCCUGUGACGAAGCGUGAGUGACGGUAAUGGGUAAAGAAGCACCGGCUAACUACGUG
rnacentral:rRNA from 1 species